UUCCUUUCAAUCUUUGAGUCAAUCAGGGA
rnacentral:piRNA from 1 species